CCUACGGGUGGCAGCAGUGGGGAAUAUUGGACAAUGGGCGAAAGCCUGAUCCAGCCAUGCCGCGUGUGUGAAGAAGGCCUUCGGGUUGUAAAGCACUUUCAGUGGGGAAGAAAGCCUUGGGGCUAAUACCCUCGAGGAAGGACAUCACCCACAGAAGAAGCACCGGCUAACUCCGUGCCAGCAGCCGCGGUAAUACGGAGGGUGCGAGCGUUAAUCGGAAUUACUGGGCGUAAAGCGCGCGUAGGCGGUCUGAUAAGCCGGUUGUGAAAGCCCCGGGCUCAAACUGGGAACGGCAUCCGGAACUGUCAGGCUAGAGUGCAGGAGAGGAAGGUAGAUUUCCCGGUGUAGCGGUGAAAUGCGUAGAGAUCGGGAGGAAUACCAGUGGCGAAGGCGGCCUUCUGGACUGACACUGACGCUGAGGUGCGAAAGCGUGGGUAGCAAACAGGAUUAGAUACCCCGGUAGUC
rnacentral:rRNA from 1 species